AACAUUGGAUUUUCUUUGAAAUAAGAUCUUAGCAAUACAUUAAGAUCCUGAGAAGUCAGAAUCACUCACCAUGAUGAUUCUGAAACAAACCUUCAAAAACAUUAUUACAUCAGUGUCUACUUUUUUUGUACAUCCUUUGUUUAACUUGAUGCUUGACCAGAAGAAAUGUAGUUUAUUGAGUAGUUGAAUAUGUAAAUCUUGGGUUGGUUGAUUGAUGUAAAAAUUCUUGGGUUAGUUUUUACUUAGGACCUCUUGCUGAUAAUAUCUUAUUUUCAUCAUGCAUCCAAGGAAUUGGGUAUGGUUUCUUGCCUUUCCACAUUUCCUGCAAUAUGACACUACUUGGUUUUGAAUCAAUGGAAUCUAAUGUGUUGGUUUGUGCAUGGUUAACUGGACCAAAAAAACAAACCCACUUUGUGGUUCAGGUUUGAUCAAUUGAUCAAACCUUGGGUUGGUUGAUUGAUGUAAAAAUUCUUGGGUUAGUUUUUACUUAGGACCUCUUGCUGAUAAUAUCUUAUUUUCAUCAUGCAUCCAAGGAAUUGGGUUUGGUUUAUUGCCUUUCCACAUUUCCUGCAAUAUGACACUACUUGGUUUUGAAUCAAUGGAAUCUAAUGUGUUGGUUUGUGCAUGGUUAACUGGACCAAAAAAACCAACCCACUUUGUGGUUCAGGUUUGAUCAAUUGAUCAAACCUUGGGUUGGUUGAUUGAUGUAAAAAUNNN
rnacentral:lncRNA from 1 species